GGAGAAAUGAAGUCUAAUGAUGUCACAUGACGUGAAAAAGAGAGAAAUCAUUCAUAUAUACUUUCUAUUCGACGUAGCAAAAUCAUUAAUGUUCCUGGUGGAGUUGCUUUUAGAGUUCCUGGUCAGCUUGUUUUGAGUAAUUUUUGGUCAUCGACACUAAGUUUUUCAAAGACUACAACUAAGUUGAAACAAAAUGGCGAUGCUUAACAAGCUUUUCGCAGUUACUUUACUUAUGACCAUCUCCGUUUGCUCAGGCAGCCCAGACCAAUGUUAUGCGUGUCUUUACAAUUCCAAAGCUCCAAAAGAACAACAAAAAUGCGUUGGUGUAAAAAUUCCAUGCACCACCGGAUAUUGUUUCUCGGCAAAAUACACCCAACUUAACAACACAGAUGUAGUUGUAAAGGGAUGUGACACAACAGCAUUUGGAUUUUGUCCGAAUACAACAGAGGCUUGUCGAAUAUUACAGGGAGUAGGGGAAUCGUGUUCCAUUUCAUGUUGUGACACUGAUCUCUGUAACGGAGGAGCGACACAAACACCAAUGAAGAUCAUUUUGGGUUUUGUCUUCUUAAUUGUCAUCGUUUUCUUGUAU